rnacentral:misc_RNA from 1 species
UGUCAGAGGAUGUUCAAGCGCAG